UUUUUGAUAAACCCGUCUUCGUUUUCCCAAAAAAAAUCUAGACAUUUCUCCCAAAUUACAAAGUAAGAGAAAACCUGUAUGCUUCUUCAUUGCCGACGUCUGGACCACUGAUCGGCGCGCACCAUUGGCCAUCGUGCGAAGACGACAGCCCACCGAAACCCAACGUCGAAAUAGCAUUUGAAGACGGCAGUCGAAUCGUAGAUGCUAGGCAAAAGUAUAUUGUUAAUUACUGAUUUAUGCAUUUCUUUAUCAAAUUUAAGGUUAAUUUAUGGUUAAGCUGUCUUAGACUUGUUUACAUGAUUUGGGUGUUAUUUCCUCUUUAUUUAGACAUAUUUGAAGUAUGUUGGUUGUGGAGCCUGACUGUUGAUAAAGUUGAAGUAUUUGAUUUCUUGUUCUUCCUAAAUUACUGAGAUUUUUCAUAAAUUUCUGAGUCUGAUUGUUAAGUUCAUUUUUCAUAAAGAGGGGUAUUUUGUUUUAGGCAAAGGUAUUUUUCAUAAAUUUCUGGGCAAAGGUAUUUUGUUCAUUUUUCAAUAAAAGGGUAUUUUUCGUAUAGAGUAUGCUUAAGUGUGCCUACUUUUGUUAAGCUACCAGAAGAAUUAUGCUUAAGUGUGCCUACUUUCGUAUGCUAAGCAUGAAGGCAAUUCUAGUUUCGUUGAGGUUGAAUGCAGCCAUAUCCUCUGUGUGUUCGUAAAUGGCAUAAGAAUAGAAGCCGGAAGAACCACGAAGCAUUAUGAACAUGAAGCAUGUAUCAUAAUAUAAGCACCAAUUCUUCAUUAUCAAACACAACAAUGAAUAUCAAGAUUAUAAACAGCAGCAGUACUGCAAUGAUGCACCUUUUGUCUAUGGGGAAGGGAGCGUGUUAGCCCUCAAAUGAGGGAUCCUAUGUCCUUUUGAAUGAGACUUCUAUUUGUUCCUCAUUUUCCACUAUAACUUUGUUUGUAAUGUGCUGUUAUUUUUAAGUUUGAAUGUGGGAUUUCAAAACUCAAUUGCAUUCAUGUGAGAUUAUUUGUUUCGUCAGCAGUUGUUGAGUAGAAUGAGAGGAAUGAAUUUCGGAGUUUGUCAUGACUAUAAAAGUAACACUCACUACUUCGAAAAAUGCCAAACAAAACGUGGAUGCCCUUCAUAUAAAAGCGGAUUUCGAAAAUGUUUUGAGGUAGAACGGGAUACUAGAAACAAAGGGCGCUUGUUCUUUACGUGUAAUAACGACUGUGGAUAUUUCGAUUGGGUGAAAAAUGAAGAUAUAAGCAGGGAGUCGAGUACCAUUAAUGAAGAGGUGAAGCAUGAGCCCAAUGAGGUAUACAAAGACUUGCCAAGAGUCUUAGAUAGCUGUAAUACCCCGAACUUCACGU
rnacentral:lncRNA from 1 species